rnacentral:rRNA from 1 species
GACGAACGCUGGCGGCGUGCUUAACACAUGCAAGUCGAGCGGUAAGGCCCUUUCGGGGGUACACGAGCGGCGAACGGGUGAGUAACACGUGGGUGACCUGCCCUCAGCUCUGGGAUAAGCCUGGGAAACCGGGUCUAAUACUGGAUAUGACUCCAUGACGCAUGUUGUGGGGUGGAAAGCCUUGUGCGGCUGAGGAUGGGCCCGCGGCCUAUCAGCUUGUUGGUGGGGUGANGGCCUACCAAGGCGACGACGGGUAGCCGGCCUGAGAGGGCGACCGGCCACACUGGGACUGAGACACGGCCCAGACUCCUACGGGAGGCAGCAGUGGGGAAGUCUUGCGCAAUGGGCGAAAGCCUGACGCAGCGACGCCGCGUGAGGGAUGACGGCCUCGG